rnacentral:rRNA from 1 species
GAUGAACGCUGGCGGCGUGCUUAAUACAUGCAAGUCGAGCGAACAGACGAUGAGCUUGCUCCUCUGACGUUAGCGGCGGGCGGGUGAGUAACAUGUGUAUAACCUACCUAUCAGACUGGUAUAACUUCGGGAAACCGGCUCUAAUACCGGAUAAUAUAUUGAUGCGCAUGGUUCAAUAGUGAAAGACGGUUUUGCUGUCUCUAAUCGCUGGAUCCGCGCCGCAUUAGCUAGUUGGUAAGGUAACGGCUUACCAAGGCAACGAUGCGUAGACGAACGCAGAGGGUGGUAGGCCACACUGGAACUGGGACACGGUCCAGGCUCCUAAGGGAGGCAGCAGUAGGGAACGUUCCGCAAUGGGCGAAAGCCUGACGGAGCGAGGCCGCGUGAGUGAUGAAGGCCUUCGGAUCGUAAAACUCUGUUAUUAGGGAAGAACAGAUGUGUAAGUAACUAUACACGGCUUGACGGUACCUAAUCAGAAAGCCACGGCUAACUACGUG